AAUAGAUCAUCAUUUUCACAGCAGAAGGAAUGAGGCCUUUACAGCAUAAGGAAGGUGCUGGAUUCCUGGAGGAACAUGUAUAUAUGGCUGGUGACCAUACUACCAAAUUGUUGUUGCCUGUGACCUCUUGCUGGGAAUUAUGAUGAACACUUGUUGUUGUCUGAUGCCUUUUUCUUCACUGCAUUAUUCAGUCUAUAUCCAUGUCCACAAACAGCUUUUUCCCCAACGACGGUUCAU